rnacentral:rRNA from 1 species
UACGAAGGGGGCUAGCGUUGUUCGGAAUUACUGGGCGUAAAGCGCACGUAGGCGGAUUGUUAAGUCGGGGGUGAAAUCCCGGGGCUCAACCCCGGAACUGCCUUCGAUACUGGCGAUCUCGAGUCCGGAAGAGGUUAGUGGAAUUCCCAGUGUAGAGGUGAAAUUCGUAGAUAUUGGGAAGAACACCAGUGGCGAAGGCGGCUAACUGGUCCGGUACUGACGCUGAGGUGCGAAAGCGUGGGGAGCAAACAGG